AAGGAUNNUUAUUGNAAAUAAAGGGUUGUNUGCUGGCCUCUCNGGGGCGCGUGCACGCCCAAAUCCACAACACACCUGUGAACCCACCGUAGGCCCCCUCGGGCUUAUGUAUUAUCAUAUACUCUGAUCAUAGAAUGUAAACAUUUUGCCUUAAAAACGCAAUGAAAUACAACUUUCAACAACGGAUCUCUUGGCUCUCGCAUCGAUGAAGAACGCAGCGAAAUGCGAUAAGUAAUGUGAAUUGCAGAUUUUCAGUGAAUCAUCGAAUCUUUGAACGCACCUUGCGCUCCUUGGUAUUCCGAGGAGCAUGCCUGUUUGAGUGUCAUUAAAUUCUCAACCCCAGCGGUUCGUUGGGGCUUGGACUUGGAGCGUGCUGGCGAAGGUCGGCUCCUCUUUAAAUGCAUCAGCGGAAAACGGAACUUUCCCUUCGGCGUGAUAAUGUCGUUGCGUCGUGGUGGGUCGGUUAAAGAGUCCCGCUUACAAUCGUCCUCGGACAAAAAUAAAAAACAUCUGUUUUGACCUCAGAUCAGGUAGGACUACCCGCUGAACUUAA
rnacentral:rRNA from 1 species